rnacentral:rRNA from 1 species
UACAGAGGUCUCAAGCGUUGUUCGGAUUCAUUGGGCGUAAAGGGUGCGUAGGCGGCGCGGUAAGUCGGGUGUGAAAUCUCGGGGCUUAACUCCGAAACUGCAUUCGAUACUGCCGUGCUUGAGGACUGGAGAGGAGACUGGAAUUUACGGUGUAGCGGUGAAAUGCGUAGAUAUCGUAAGGAAGACCAGUGGCGAAGGCGGGUCUCUAGUACGGUACUGACGCUGAGACGCGAAAGCGUGGGGAGCGAACAGG